AUUGAACGCUGGCGUCAGGCCUAACACAUGCAAGUCGAACGGUAACAGGAAGCAGCUUGCUGCUUUGCUGACGAGUGGCGGACGGGUGAGUAAUGUCUGGGAAACUGCCCGAUGGAGGGGGAUAACUACUGGAAACGGUAGCUAAUACCGCAUAACGUCGCAAGACCAAAGAGGGGGACCUUAGGGCCUCUUGCCAUCGGAUGUGCCCAGAUGGGAUUAGCUAGUAGGUGGGGUAACGGCUCACCUAGGCGACGAUCCCUAGCUGGUCUGAGAGGAUGACCAGCCACACUGGAACUGAGACACGGUCCAGACUCCUACGGGAGGCAGCAGUGGGGAAUAUUGCACAAUGGGCGCAAGCCUGAUGCAGCCAUGCCGCGUGUAUGAAGAAGGCCUUCGGGUUGUAAAGUACUUUCAGCGGGGAGGAAGGGAGUAAAGUUAAUACCUUUGCUCAUUGACGUUACCCGCAGAAGAAGCACCGGCUAACUCCGUG
rnacentral:rRNA from 1 species